rnacentral:rRNA from 1 species
AGAACUUAGCAGAGAUGCUUUGGUGCCUUCGGGAACUCUGAGACAGGUGCUGUAUGGCUGUCGUCAGCUCGUGUUGUGAAAUGUUGGGUUAAGUCCCGCAACGAGCGCAACCCUUAUCCUUUGUUGCCAGCGAUUCGGUCGGGAACUCAAAGGAGACUGCCAGUGAUAAACUGGAGGAAGGUGGGGAUGACGUCAAGUCAUCAUGGCCCUUACGAGUAGGGCUACACACGUGCUACAAUGGCGCAUACAAAGAGAAGCGACCUCGCGAGAGCAAGCGGACCUCAUAAAGUGCGUCGUAGUCCGGAUUGGAGUCUGCAACUCGACUCCAUGAAGUCGGAAUCGCUAGUAAUCGUAGAUCAGAAUGCUACGGUGAAUACGUUCCCGGGCCUUGUACACACCGCCCGUCACACCAUGGGAGUGGGUUGCAAAAGAAGUAGGUAGCUUAACUUUCGGGAGGGCGCUUACCACUUUGUGAUUCAUGACUGGGGUGAAGUCGUAACAAGGUAAGCGUAGUGCU